GCGCGAAUGGUUUAGUGGUUAGAAUCCGAGCCUUCCAAGCUUGGGACCGGGGUUCGAAUGAGCUUUUCUUUCUUUGAAGAAAGAAAAUCUUCAUCAAAAGAAAGAACAAAGAUGAAGAAAGCUUCGGAAAAGAGAACAAAGCUGCGAAAGUCCCCGUUCGCGCA
rnacentral:tRNA from 1 species